UUGCACGCUGGCGGCAUGCUUUACCCAUGCAAGUCGAACGGUAACAGGCCGCAAGGUGCUGACGAGUGGCGAACGGGUGAGUAAUGCAUCGGAACGUGCCCAGUCGUGGGGGAUAACUACUCGAAAGAGUAGCUAAUACCGCAUACGAUCUAUGGAUGAAAGCGGGGGACCGUCAGGCCUCGCGCGAUUGGAGCGGCCGAUGUCAGAUUAGGUAGUUGGUGGGGUAAUGGCUCACCAAGCCAACGAUCUGUAGCUGGUCUGAGGGGAGGACCAGCGACACGGGAAGGGAGAGAAGGUAGAGAGUACUAAGGGAGGAAGCAGUGGGGAAUCUGAGGGAAUGGGCGAAAGCGUGACGGAGCAACGUGGAGUGAGGGAUGAAAGUCUUCGGAUCGGAAAGCGCUGCUAUGAGGGAAGAAAAAAGGGGGAAGGAAAUGGGGACGGCGUGACGGUACGUAAUAAGAAAGGAACGGCUAACGACGUG
rnacentral:rRNA from 1 species